UACGUUGGUGGCAAGCGUUGUCCGGAUUUACUGGGCGUAAUGCGCACGCAGGUGGCCUGUCUAGUCCAGGGUGAAAUCUCCCGGCUCAACCGGGAGAGGUUUCUGGAUACUGGCAGUCUUGAGGGCAGCAGAGGAGAGCAGAAUUCCCGGUGUAGCGGUGAUAUGCGUAGAUAUCGGGAGGAAUACCAGUGGCGAAGGCGGCUCUCUGGGCUGUCCCUGACGCUGAGGUGCGAAAGCGUGGGGAGCAAACCGG
rnacentral:rRNA from 1 species